GCCACUGCCUGCAUCACGGGCCUCCGAGGGCACUGCCAAGUUUUUCACGGGGAAAAGGAGUUUGUGCACAUCUGACAAUUUCCCACACAUGCCCUGCAGAGGCCGGCGAGAUGCGGAGUCCGCGGCUGCAGGGUAGAUCCCCUCCUCUGCCCCGCUCUGGGCCGAGCCCUUGGCCAGGUGGGGACCGGCGCGGAUAUGUCUCCGCUGGGCCUGCAGGCGGCGAGACUUACUUGGGUAGCGAUAGUAGAAUUCGUUCUCCACGUCGCUCAAGUUCUUGUGCGUCCUCUCUGACCACCAGUGGGCGUCGGCCUCGAAGUCGUAGCGCACGAACACCCCGAAGAGAAUCACCAUAACCACCUGCAGGAGCAGGCAGGGCACAUGAAAAACAAGGAAUGUUUGGGACACUGUCACACAACAGAGCGGCCU
rnacentral:lncRNA from 1 species